rnacentral:lncRNA from 1 species
AAGUCUCCGAAGGGUGCUGUCCCUGUCAAUGAAAUAAGAAGCGGCUAGCUGAUGUAGCGUCUCCAGAGUGACCGAAGAGCUAUUGGUGGUGGAAUCACUUCCUUCAGCUCGUUUGCUCAACUUCCGCUUGUCCACAAAAAUUGUUAGUUUUGGGUUGCUGAGAGCAUAAAUGUGAAAAUAGGCAGGAGUUACAGAAUUACAGAGUUCCUCUACAUUAAGAAUAACUUUCAGGCCCAUUUGCUUUUUACAUCCUACUGGUGUUUAACCUGGAGUCUUUUGCUAUUUUACGAAGAGUAUUGAAACAUGUCUCUCUGGAGUCAAAUAUUUCAUUUCAGACACCUCCCUUUAUGAUGUCAAUCUAAGGGCUGAGCUAAGGGAAAUAAAUGUGAUUAUUGUUAUGAGGGCAUACAGUGAGAUGGCAGCAGCCUGUAAGCCAGAAACAGAAGCAUCACCAGAAACUGACCAUGCUGGUACCCUAAUCUCAGACUUCCAGAUUUCUGAAGAACUUCAAAGAAACAAAAGUCUAUUGUUUAAGCCACCUAGUCUGUCACAUUUUGUUAUGGCAAUGUGAGCUAACUAAUACACUACCUUUAAAAUAUAAA